rnacentral:rRNA from 1 species
UACAGAGGAGCCAAGCGUUGUCCGGAUUGACUGGGCGUAAAGCGCACGCAGGCGGUCGCGCGCGUGGGGUGUGAAAUCUGGCCGCUUAACGGCCAGGCGCCAUCCCAUACGGCGCGACUGGAGUGAUGCAGAGGUCGAUGGAAUUGCCGGUGUAGUGGUGAAAUGCGUAGAGAUGUGGAGGAACACCAGUGGCGAAGGCGGCUUUCUGGUCUGUAACUGACGCUGAGGCGCGAAAGCGUGGGGAGCAAACAGG